rnacentral:lncRNA from 1 species
AUGAGUCGUUGCAAGCGAAGUGGAUCAUACUGGUAUUAUUUCACUCUGGUGGAUUUACUAUGAAACUGAAGUACUAUCUGCACUUAUUCUCAGCAAAUCGUGAUGUCCUAUAUGUCUUCUGGAGUUCUGGUGCUUUUCUAAGUCGAUAUCAAACAGGUAUAAAGUUGUUUGUUUUGUCGCUUUACUUGACUCUUUUGUUGUGAAUAUAUGAUUAAAUUUUGCUGUCCUGUAUGUGGCAAGCUCGUUCAAGACGAAGUCGAAGGCCGACUGUAUGUUCUCAGCUUCAACCAAAAAUCAUCGAAUUUGCCAUUAAACGUUGUCUCUGCUAGCUUUUAAAGACUUCAGACUAUACUUUGUCUGUGAUUUUUUAAGCGAAGUCAUAAAAUAGCUUUAAAGUCGAAGAACCUGCUAGCCCGUAUCAAAAUAGCUUUAAAUCUAACCUUGAAAUAUAACUUUAUUUCUGUUCUAAUUUGUUCUAAUGGCUUUAACUCGAGUUCCUAUAGACUAAUUCUUGUUAAAAUGGUUUACAAUUUUGAGUGAUAUUCUGUGUUUGUACUGAAUGUUGUACAUGUAGUGCUAUCUUCAACAUUAUUGAUAAUUAUGCAUGGUUCUUUCGUCUUAAAGCCGGUAUGAUUUCACAUAUUCUCGAUAAAGUAGACAAUUUGUAUAGGAUUAAGUAAGUUGACUUGGUUCUCACCAAUGUGAAAGUUUGUUGUAUAAGUAUAGGCUAUAAAUGUCGCGAAAAGUUUUGAAAAUAUUUUUACAUACAUCCAGCAUCUAUAUAAAGCCUGAUUUCAAUACUCAUUAUUCUUAUUUUUCUAUUUCAGAUCGCACUGUCAUUAUGCAGGCCUCAACCUGGCACUUUAUACCACAUGUACACCAGGUGGAUAUAUUUGAAAGUGAAACUAAAGUGGCUAUAUUGUAUAUCUGUAAUUAUUUUGAACAGUUCUUGAUGUAGCUAUGUCUCCCUGGUUCUGUCCUAAAGUCCAUCUCAAACAGGUAUACAUGUGUUUUGUCGCUUUACUUAAUUCUAUUUGUUGUGAAUAUAUAUAAAUUUUGCCGUCCCCUAUGACGAACUCGUUCAAGACGAAUUAAGUCGAAGGCCGGGCCUACUGCAUGUAAGAAGCAAUGUCGAAUAUAAGAAGCAAUUGAUGUCGCGCAUCAAGUCUAAGCCAUGCAGAAAGUUUUUUACAUACAAAAUAUUUUUACAUAUAUCCAUCUAUACUGAAAGUUUGAUUAAUGGCUUUUUUUCUAUUUCAGAUCGCACUGUUCAUCAGGCUAAUUCAACCUGGCCUUACCACAUCAGCUAGGCGGAUUUAAAAUGAAUCAAGUCUAAAGUGCUAUGACUAUUGCACUUAUUCACAGCAAUUCUUGAUGCUCCGUAUUGUCUUCUGGUUUUGUUGUUCUAAAGUCGAUCUUGAACAGGUAUAAUGUUUUGUCGAAUUUCCCAUUAAACAUUAUCUCAGCUAGGUUUUAUAAAAGUUUUUGACUAUACUUUGUCUGCGAUUUUAAUAGAGAUUUUUAAGUAAAAUUUCACCAUACGACACGAGUUCCGUAUGAGCGAAGUCAAAGAACUUGUUAUCCCAUACAUGUAUCAAAAUGACUUCAAAUUGAACUUGAUUUCUGCUCUAAUUUAAUAAAUGUGAAAGUUUGUUCUACAAUUGAUCUUUAAGAUGAGAAGCAAUGUCGCGUUUAGUCUAAGCCAGAAUUUUUUACAUAUACAUCCGACAUCUAUGUAAAGUUUGAUUCAAUACUCAUAAUUCUUAUUUUUUCUAUUUUAGAUCGCACUGCUCAUCAGGCUUCAACCUGGCCCUUACCACGUCAGGUGGUGGUGGUCUGCACUUUUUGUUUUACUUCCCGAAUUUUUCACAUGCAUAGUCGUCAUCAGGACACAUGACUUUAGGUAGACGUGCUUUUGCAUGCUGAGAUAUUUCAUUCAACUAUAUGAUUUCGAGGUGUUGGAUAAAAUUUGGAGAAAAUGAUAUAGACCAGGAGUUGGUAUAUAUCAAGCACCUAGAAUAUAUCAAGCAGCUAGAAUAUAUCUACCUUGUAUAAAUGAAACAAAUUUUCUUCUACCAAAGUGAGGAGAGUUGCAUGAAGUAUUUCACGGUGCAUGCAUUAGCAUGUUUACAAGAGGAGUUGAGAAAGCCCUGCUCAUCUUAUUUAACAAACGUUUAGGACCACAAGAUCUAGGCUCUGUUAGGGUUCCAGUUAAGGCCACAACAUAACGAGUGAAUUUGAAUAAAUUCGUUAACUAGUUAGGUUAGGACUGAAGCGUGAAAACGCAUAGUUGACCCCUGCAGGAUCGAUCACCAACACGUUUCCGCAAUAGGACUUUUAUUUUUGUUAUCUUGGAUGUGCUGUUGGGUAACUGGAUUAUUGCACCUUGGAUUAUUACAUAUUGUGGAUCAUAUUAUCAUGUGGAUUAUUAUAUAUCAUUGUGGAUUAUAUUAUACAUCAUUGUGGAUUACUAAACAUCAUUAUUGUGGAUUGUUAUUACGGCCACCGCAAUGGAGGAUGAGUCCGGUGUCUCAUCCAGAAGACUGAAGACGUCGUGAGGUCAGAGUUGUGUAACCCUGAUGGUAAAACAAUUAUCGACAUUUUCGUAUUUCGGACUUGUGCAUGUUUUAACGAAACCUGGUUUGGUUGCAUGUGUUAGGAAACCUGAAGAUAUAGAUAUAAUGCUCCUCUGGCAGUAAAGUGUUGUGACUCCCUAACCCCAGCCCACCCCCUGCAUGUGUGGGAGAAGCCCUUUACUGUCAGGGCGAGGCCAUGAAAUUUUGUAAUGGAUAAACUGCAUAAUGUAAUAUUAUUCCACUAGCAUAAAUACUGCACGAUGCAUGAUAUAUAUUUUCUUAAAAUUUUUUUUGAAAAGCAUGCAUGCACUACCAGGUUAAUUAUAUAAGUGUGUUGUGUGUUUAUUAUGAUUACGUGUUGUGUUUAUAUUAUUAUGCAUGUCGUUAUCUGCAUGAAAAUAUGAGUCACAAUUCGGAAUUUUCGGUGCGUGAUAGGGUGAGGUGCGCUGAUAAGGGGUGGAUGCCCCAUAUUGUACAUAUCAUCCAUGAUGAUGAUUAGGCUAUAGGAAUAUAUUUAUGAUUAAGUGAAUAAGUGAAUUAUGAAAUAAUUGUUACUUAUAAGUAUAUAUUAACGAGCUACAUCUCAAGAUACUUGGUGCGCGAUGCAGAUUAAGGCGGCAAAACGCGUUAAUAAAGGGGGGGGGGGGUUGCACCCGGUUUUAUCAAAGAUUAUAUUAUAGUAUGUGAUAAAAUAUAUAGACAUGCUUACAGUAGAAAUUUGGCAUCAUAUUUGUCAAAUUUGAUUUCUUAGAAAAAAAA